ensembl:antisense Gm11973 predicted gene 11973
ACCAGGAACUCGCUCUUGAGCGCGCGGCGCAGCCCGCCGCCCUCCUCGGCGCCCGCCGCCAGCUGCUCGGGGCUGCUGGGACCCAGCUGCGCGUAGUGCUCGAUGAAGUCGCCCAGCGAGUCGCGGAACUCGGCGGCCACCGCCAUCGACAGCGUGAGGCGGCUCUUGGAGCCGCCCGCGCCCACCUCGGCGAUCUUGAGGAAGCGGCCCUUGGCGUUCUGCUUCACGUCCAGGAGGAGGGGUUCUUGCCUGUUUGUGUGUCGGUGCAUUGCAUGCCCACUGAGGGUGUGAUGGCUAAAGAAACUCCAUUUUGUGUUGGGAGUUCAUCUUGGUACCAAAUAGCCAUUUGUCUCUGACUCAAGUUCCUGGAAGACAUUCAAGGACUGUUCUGAAGUCACCUUGACCCUCCAUCUAAUCCGGGUAGAGCAGGACAGCCCCCAUGGGUUUUACCUUUAAAUGUCCUUCCUGCUCCCUCAUCUGACUCUGAUUGAGUGCAGCCUUGCCAGAAGUUCUAAUAAAUUCUGCUAAUUAUAAUCAGAA